GAAAAAGUUCUGUUGGCCUUAGUAGCACUUCUCCAUAUUUCAGUCUCAGUUUUGUACUAAAGCAAUGGUUAAUACUUCUGCAGACCUUUAGAUUUAUCAUACAUCCAGAAAAUACGUCAUGUAACAUGCACAUUUGCUUGUGUGUUCAUACACCAGUUGGUCUUGGAUGGAUAUUAUGCCAUUAGAUUUUGGCUGUGCUCCAGCAUGCUAUACUGCUAUAAGGGUCGGUUUUGUUCCAGUUUUGUUCCAUUUCUCAUCGAACUGCCAUUGAUUUUUGCCAAGCCAUGCAUGCUUGUGCGUUUGUGCUCUCAAAACCUGCCCGAGCGGAUGAAGAUGGAUGAGGUGUAUGCGUUUGCGUGUGUGUAUGGAGCUGUAUGUAUAAUGUUUGAGGGGGGGCUUUUGCCGGCAGCGUUUUCUGCUCGUACUCCUCCAAUCCCAACCUCAGCCAUUCACAUCUGGUUGCUAGGCAACAGAUGCAGCCCCGUUUUCUGUGGGUUCGUUAGCAGAUUCUGAGCAAGCGUCUGCGAGGACAAAGCCUCUCUGUGGUCUGCUGAUGUUAGCAUCAGAGCAGUCGUUACAGCUCUCUGGAAGCCACCGAAGAACUGCACGCUGGUGAACAUCAGGAGGAAAAUAUCUUUCCCAGAACCAGUUUCUUGGCUGUAGCCGACAUCAGCCAGGCACGGAUCAUCGCCAGCUCCUAAAAUGUCAUUCCUCUAAGUCUCCAGUGCCUCAGCUUUGGCUCGAUCAGUUCUGAUGGAACCAUAAACUUCAAACGGGCUCAGCGCCCGACUGGCAGGAUGCAUUUCUCUCUCUUUUUCCUCUGGCGGCCAGCCACUGGAAAUGAGCUAAUUGCUCCUUACACAGACCUCCCUGAGUCCUGGCCAAAGGAAUCUGAACAUUAUCCAAACCAAUGACCGAAAUGUUGAAAGCUGGCUCGCGGAUCCAGCAAUGGAAUUAUACAAGACAAACACCCCCCUUUCUCUCCAGCCUCCCUUUCUGUUAAGACUGUAAUGACCGCUGUGAAACUGCACACAGACUAACAUAUGUUUGCCAUUACCGCACAGUACACGGUGUGCGCUUUUAUUUGCUGUCAUUGGUGUUGAAAAUGCAAUGUCUGAUCCAGUAAGCUGUCAGGGAUAUUUUUGUUGUAAUGGAUUGUCAGUAAGUCUCUCAGAAAGCCAUAUGUUUUAGUAUAUAUAUCAUAAAACCGCUGAGACUCUGAAUUCAGGAAACAAACAGUGGACUUCCAGACUCUCCUAUAGAGCUCAACUGGCAGCCGUCUCCUCCAGCUGCUCGAUAUCACGGCCUGGCGUUUCCUCCACAGCCUUCCCAGUGCACCCCUCUGACCGAGCCCAUCCUUAGCACCCUCCGGCAGAGAGAAACCCUGGAGAACAGGCUGGUAGAUUGGGUGGAGCAACAGCUCAUGGCCAGAAUGAUCACUGGAAUAUUCCCUCAGCCCGUCCAGACUGAUCUAGCCAGCCAAUCAGAGACAGAGAAUAGUGUGACAUCAGGUAUAGGUGAGAAUGGGUUCUUUUUAAUGUUUAUAAUUGUGACUUUAGGCCUCACAAUGAGACUUUGUCUUAUUUUAAACUCUGUGUAUUUGGCGUUAAACAUAUUUUAAAUCUCCCUGUUUAGUAGCUAUGAAGUUUGUCUGUCUGCGGUUCAACCAUCAUACAUCAUCACCAAUUUACAAGUGUGUCUGGUCAAUGUUCAAAAUCAAAUAACGCAUGACAUGAACCAGCAAGAAUGGUCGAGCUGCACCAGGUUCCAAUCUAUAAGCUCAUCAUUUUGAUUCAUAGUUUUUAUGAAUGAGAGCAGUGCAUUUGUCAAGAGUGUCAGCACGCAUCAAGAUUGUAUUUCCUCAUUAAAACACGAUUGUUUGUGCUCAUCCCCUCUACUCCUCCUCUGCUCGAUCCUUCCAUCUCCGUCGCGUCACUUCUGCUCAGUCGGCGAGGAGGUCCUGCCUCAUUGAUUCUCGCUUUCAUUUAAUAGAAAGAUCAAUGAUGUAUCAAAUUUGCAGAGGAGGCUCGCAGCAAACUGUUGUCAGCAUAUUCGCAGACUGACUGGACUCUUCCUCCUGUAGAGGAACUGUAUAUGCGUUUAAACGCAAACAAAAGGAAAUGAGGCCCCUGCCAAGAAUGUCAGUUCUGUAUAUUAGUUUUUUAAUACCACCGGUCCAAAAUGCUUACGGGUGCAAGAAUUCAGAGUAGGCUGGAUGAGAGGUAAAGCGGAUCUCAAAUUGGUUAUUUAAAAUUACUUUGCUGGCAAACUCAACUUGCCAGAAGGGCAUCAUGGGAAAACUUCUGAAUGUUGUGGGAAUGCCAGAUGUGCAGGUAUUAAUUGCAUGCGUUGUUAUUUUUUGGAUGCACAAUAAGAGUUUGAGCUCUUUAAAUGGAUGUGAAUUUUGAUAUUAAAUAAUACCAAUGACCUUGUUGAAAGUGGUGAUAGGUCAGACCUGUGGCCUAGCGGUUUUAGAUCCAGGUUUGAAUCCAGGGAUGUGUGUCCUUAUCCCAUUGUUUAAAACACAUUGCAUUUCUUUGUAA